GUUCUGGCUCGAUAUGCUUUUGGGCCGCUCCCCCAGCCUG
rnacentral:ribozyme from 1 species